rnacentral:lncRNA from 1 species
GGACUCUGGAAAAUGCUUUAGUUCUUAUAUUUUGUAUAUAGUUCUUGUAUUUUGAAAAUUUUUAUAUAUUGAUAAUAUACUUCCUUAAAGAGACUAAAACCACUUACCUAAUAAAAACAUUGAAAAUACAACGCUGAAAAUUCUGAACUUUCUAGUACCCAGUUGCAUUCAGGUAAGGAUAAUUAUUAAUGUUGUCCUGAAUUUUUUGGUUUUGGUGCAUUCAAUAAGCAAUCUUAGUCUCUGAGCAGAAAAAUAUACCAGUUCAGCAAAAUCUAUUUUUCCUUGAAAGGUUCUUUGAUUUGCUUUCCCACAGAUACAUGGGAAAAAACUCAAAGCCCAUUAAUGCUGGCAUUAAUAUACAUUAGUCAUUGGAAUAGACCAUUUCCCAACUGGGCCCCACCACAUUUCCAAUGGACACCCAAUUAAUGACUAUCUAAUUGACUCAUCUGCAAAUCUUACAAAGCAAUACUUUUGCUAAGUAAAUUGAACCUGCCAUUGCA